AUGUUAUCACGGGAGACACACGGCGGGUGCUAACGUCCGUCGUGAAGAGGGAAACAACCCAGACCGCCAGCUAAGGUCCCAAAGUCAUGGUUAAGUGGGAAACGAUGUGGGAAGGCCCAGACAGCCAGGAUGUUGGCUUAGAAGCAGCCAUCAUUUAAAGAAAGCGUAAUAGCUCACUGGUCGAGUCGGCCUGCGCGGAAGAUGUAACGGGGCUAAACCAUGCACCGAAGCUGCGGCAGCGACGCUGAUGCGUUGUUGGGUAGGGGAGCGUUCUGUAAGCCUGUGAAGGUGUGCUGUGAGGCAUGCUGGAGGUAUCAGAAGUGCGAAUGCUGACAUAAGUAACGAUAAAGCGGGUGAAAAGCCCGCUCGCCGGAAGACCAAGGGUUCCUGUCCAACGUUAAUCGGGGCAGGGUGAGUCGACCCCUAAGGCGAGGCCGAAAGGCGUAGUCGAUGGGAAACAGGUUAAUAUUCCUGUACUUGGUGUUACUGCGAAGGGGGGACGGAGAAGGCUAUGUUGGCCGGGCGACGGUUGUCCCGGUUUAAGCGUGUAGGCUGGUUUUCCAGGCAAA
rnacentral:rRNA from 1 species